UACAGAGGGGGCAAGCGUUAUUCGGAAUUAUUGGGCGUAAAGGGCGCGUAGGCGGCCUUGCAAGUGGAAGGUGAAAUCCCUCGGCUUAACCGAGGAACUGCCUUCCAGACUGCUAGGCUUGAGACCGGGAGAGGUGAGUGGAAUUCCCAGUGUAGCGGUGAAAUGCGUAGAUAUUGGGAGGAACACCAGUGGCGAAGGCGGCUCACUGGACCGGUACUGACGCUGAUGCACGAAAGCGUGGGGAGCAAACAGG
rnacentral:rRNA from 1 species